AGAGAAUUAGAAGAUUUCUUACAACAAAACUAACAGAUGGACUGCUGCCAAUGGCACACUGUGACAGAUGAAAAAGAUCCCAGCAAGACAUUUGGCCACACAUCCAAGCAGGGAAGAUUUCCUACGUCUAAGAGUCAUUUCACAGCAUGAGAACUUCAAAGACCCCAGGGAAGCCUCACCAGGGUUGACACUGCUGGCUUGCAGGGCAAGCAGAAAGCAGACUUGUGAAACCAGGAUCUGUGGUCAGCAAUACAUUUGCUGGUGCCCAAUGAGGGCAGAGAAAGAAAGAGAGAGAGAAGAAGGAGAGAGACAGUCGCUCCCCAAAUGCCUGCAACAGCUGGGGCUGGCCCAGGCCAACCCAGGAAGCCAGAAUUCCAUCCUGGUUUCCCAUGUGGGUUUCAGGGACCCAAGCACUUGAGCCGUCAGCUGCUGCCUCCCAGAGUGUGCAUCAGAGGGAAGCUGGAGUCAAAAGUGGAGCUGGGUUGUUAUACUGACAGUUAAGCUGCUCCCCUGGCAGGCCAGCAUCCCGUACAGGAGGGGUUCAAACUCUGUCUCCUCUUCUGAGCUGGCUUCCUGAUAAAGUGUAUCUCUCUCUCUCUCUCUCUCUCUCUCUCUCUCUCUUUCUCUCUCUCUCUCUGUCACUCUGCCUUUCAAAUAAACAAAUUUAAAAGAAGGAGAAGAAGAUAAGGAGGAGGAGGUGGAGGAGGAACUGGUACACAGAUUAGGCACUCCAAUAUGGGAUGCAGGUGCCUCACUCAGGGUCUUAACUGCUCUGCCAAACAUCUGGUCCUUUAUUGUUUUUCAAGCUUUUUUUUUUUUUUUAAUUUAUUAUUUAUUUGAGAGGCAAAGAAGGGAGAGUUUUCAUCUGUUGGGUCAUGCCCUUGAUGGGCCCUGGCUGUGGCUGAAGCCAGGAAUUGGGAACUCAAUUCAGGUUUCCAACAUGGAUGGCAGGAACUAAAUUACUCAAGCCAUCAUAUGCUGUUUCUCAGGGUCUGCCUUAGCAGGAAGCUGGAGUCAGGAACAAGACACAAGGAUUGAACCCGGACUGCAAUGUGGGACACAGGCUUCUUAACCUCUAAGGCUGAAUGCCCCUCUCGAAAGCUGUUUUUGACCCACUAAAUGGAUCUGUGACCAGUAAUGAGUCACACUGUGCAGUCUGAAAAGCAUGAUACACAAAAGCAAAAACUCCUUGUGCUGCUUCUUUUUCUUUUUUUAGCAAUUUAUUUAUUUUAUUUGAAAUGCAGAGUUACAGAGAGAGGGAGAGAUGGACAGAGAGAGGAGAGACUGAGAGAGCAAUCUUCAGUCUGCUCAUUCGCUCCCCAAAUGACUACAACAGUGGGGGCAGAGCCAGGCUGAAGCCAGGAGACAGGACCUUCAUCCAGAUCUUCCUCAUGGGUAUUAGGUGCUCAACAAUUUGGUCCAUGUUCCACUGCUUUCCCAGGCACAUUUGUGGGGAACUAGAUUGGAAGUGUAGCAUCUGGGUCUUGAACCAGCACCCAUAAGGUAUGCCAGUGUUGCAGGUGGUAGCUUAACCCUUGUACUAUUUCAUACUGAGUCAUCCAGUUCACUUUUAACUAUGAAGUAAAAAUUCCAAAAAAUAAGAGUAAUAGUCACUCUGAAUUUUUAAAAUAUUUUAUUUAUUUUUGAGAGGUAGGGUUACAGACAAUGAGAGGGAGAGACAGAGAGAGAGAGAUCUUCCAUCUGCUGGUUCACUCCCCAAUUGGCCACAACGGCUGGAGCUGGGCCAAUCCAAAGCCAGGAGCCAGGAGCUUCUUCUGGGUCUCCAUGCAGGUGCAGGGGCCCAAGGACUUGGGCCAUCUUCUACUGCUCUCUCAGGCCAUAGCAGAGAGCUGGAUUGGAAAAGGAGCAGCUGGGACUCAAACCGGCACCCACAUGGGAUAUUGGCGCCACAGGUGGAGGCUUAGCCCACACCACAUUGUUGGCCCUGUCACUCUGAAUAAAACAACAACAAAAAAAAGCACCCUUCUCAGAAAAAAGUUAUUUUCCUGCUCAUCAUUCUCUACACUGCAACCAGAGCAAGGCUUUUAACAUAUACAUCACACCCUGUCCAUCCUUGCGUGAGCUUGACAGUGCCACCCAGUUGCCAGUAAUGACAGCUGCUACCUCUUGCACCCUGCUUGCAGUAUGCCAGGCACACCUGUACACGUCUAUCCAUUCAGUCACCUCUUCCUCACAGUAACCUGCAAGCUAGAGCUACCAUCCGACUGCCUGACAGAGCUCAAAAACUCACAGCUAGUAAGAGGCACGGCCUCUUAAAAGAUUUUAUUUAUUUAUUUGAGAGGUGGAGUUACAGACAGUGAGAGGGAGAGACAGAGAGAUUGAUUUUCCAUCAGCUGGCACUCCCCAAAUGUCCACAAUGGCCAGAGCUUCGCCAAUCCAAAGCCAGGAGCCAGGAGCUUCUUCCGGGUCUCCCACGCGGGUGCAGGGGCCCAAGGACUUGGGCCAUCUUCUACUGCUUUCCCAGGCCAUAGCAGAGCUGGAUCAGAAGUGGAGCAGCCGGGACUUGAACUGGUGCCCAUAUAGAAUGCCGGCUCUGCAGGUGGAGGCUUAGUUCACUAUGCCACAGUGUCAGCCCCAAUAAGUAAAAUAAAUCUUUAAAAAAAAAAUAGAGCCCCCAGUCUGCCAUCAGUCUGCCCCAGGAGCUCCAGCUUUCUGGCCAUGUGCAUGGCCUCACAUGUGCUGCUUGUUCCCCUUGGCUGGUUCCCAUACAGGCUGCUCUUAGGUUUUCCCUCAACCCCUUCUGCUGGCCCCACCAGAGCUGCACUCUGAGUGUUCCAUAGUGCUCCCUGCCUUCUUCCCUCCCUCCUUCAUCCACUCAUUCGAUUCAUUGUUUACUGGACUCUUACCCCUUGUAAGAAGAAACAAAAGCAAAGGAGACAAAGUCCCUGCCCUCAUGAGUUCAUAUUUUCCAAUGGGGGUGGAAAGACAUAAUGUCAGGUGGUGACAAAUGUUAAUGAGUACUUAUGAAAUGCAUGAAGUUUGUAUUCCUUAAAUAAAAGGUUUCUGUGGGGAAAAAUGUUAAUGAGAAAAAUAAUGCCGGGGAAGGUGGCCUGGGUGUGCCACAGGACGAGGCAUGUGUGCCCGUUUUAUACUGGGAGUUUUGGGAGGUGAUGCUCCAGCAGAGGUCACUGGGAGCAGGAGCCUUGUGUCUAGUGAGGUUGAGGGGAGCCAUGCAGGAGAGAAGGGCGCGUGCACAGCGCCUGAGUGCUGAGUGCUUGCUGCGGCACAGUGAGCAGGGAGGCCAGAUUGUUAGCAAGUCACUCUGGCUCUUGCCCCUGUGAACGGGGAAGCUACCUGAGGGCUCUGAGCAGAAGGGAUGUAUUUAUUUCCUAUUCCUGCUGUAAAAAUGACCACAAGUUGGGGCCGGUUCUGUGGCGUAGUGGGUAAAGCUACCGCCUGAAGCACUGGCAUUCCAUAUGGUUCAAGUCCCAGCUGCUCCACUUCCAAUCCAGCUCUCUGCUAUGGCCUGGGAAAGCAGUAGAAGAUGGCCCAAGUCUCUGGGCCCCUGCAUCCAUGAGGGAGACCCUGAAGAAGCACCUGGCUCCUGGCUUUGGAUCAGUGCAGCUCCUGUUGUUUUGGCCAAUUGGGGAGUGAACCAUCGAUGGAAGACCUCUCUCUCUCUCUCUCUCUCUCUCUCUCUCUCUCUCUCUCUGCCUCUCCUCUCUGUGUCUAACUCUGACUUUCAAAUAAAUAAAUCUUUUUUUAACAUGACCACAAGUUGAGAGGCUUGAAACAACACAGAUUUAUUCCCUUCCAGUUCUGGAGCUCAGAAGUAGCCCACUGUGAUGCAGUCUGUAUGCUGGCAAAGCUCUCUUUCACAAGGCUCCAGGGGAGGGCCUGCUCCCUUGCUUCGCCCAGCUGCUGGAGUCCUCUUUCUUCAAGACCCGCAGGGCUGCACUUCUCUGCUACACUUCCAAGUCCUCUUCUCCCUCUGACCAUAGCUACUAAGGGGCAUGCACCUUUUUUUUUUUUUUUUUUUUUAAGAUUUAUUUGCGGGGCUGAUGCUGUGGCAUAGCCAGUUAAGCUGCCACCUGCAAUGCUGGCAUCCCAUAUGGGCUCCAGUUCAAGUCUCGGCUGGUCCACCUCAGAUACAGCUUCUUGCUAAUACACCUGGGAAAGCAGCAGAGAAUGGCCCAAGGUCUUUGGGCCCCUGCACCCACAUGGGAGACCCAGAAGAAACUCCUAGUUCCUGGCUUUGAACUGGCCCAGCCCUGGCUGUUGCAGCCAUUUAGGGGAGUGAACGGGUAGAUGGACAAUCUCUCUUUCUGUCUCUCCCUCUCUCUCUGUAAACUCUGCCUUACAAACAAAUAGAAUCUUUUAAAAAAUUUAUUUUUUUAAAAAAGAUUUAUUUAUUUAUUUGAAAGGCAGAUUUACAGAGAGAGAGAGAGAGAGAGAGAGAGAGAGGUCUUCCAUCCGCUGGUUUCACUCCCCAGAAAAGGCUGUAGCUGUGCCAAUCUGGGUGCAGGGGCUCAAGGACUUGGGCCAUUUUCUGCUGCUUUACCAGGCCACAGCAGAGAGUUGGAUUGGAAGUGGAACAGCUGGGACUCAAAUCAGUGCCCAUAUGGGAUGCUGGCACUGCAGGUGGCAGCUUUUACCCACUAUGCACAGUGUAGGCCUCCCCCCCCAAAUUUUAUUUGUUUGAAAGACCAAGCAAGAGAGAUGGAGGGGACAGAAAGGGAAAGAGAAUCUAUCCCAUUCACUGAUUUGCUCCCCGAAUGAGUGCAACAGGCAUGACUAGGCCAGGCUGAAGGCAGUAGCCAUGAACUCCAACCUGGUCUCCCACAUGAGUGGCAGGGCCCCAAGUACUUGAGCCAUCUUUUGCUGCUUGCCCAGGUACAUUAGGAGGAAGCUGGAUAGCUGGGACUCAAAUUAGCACUCUAAUAUGAGAUGCUGGUGUCGCAAGCAGCUGUUUAACCUACUGUGUCAUGUCAGUCCCAAAGGUUAUUCACUUCUAAGGAUCCCUAUGAGUAGGUUGGGCCCACCUGAAAAAUCCCAACAGAAUCCCCCAUUUUAAGAUCCUUAAACACAACUGCCAAGUUCUUUGGCCGCAUAUGGGAACAUACGCAUAGGAUCCAGGGAUUAGGACACAGGGGUGAAUAAUUCUGCCUAAACCAGUGAUGCAGUCUGACGUCAGUGGUAACAGGAUCAGCCUGGCUGCCCUAUGAGGGGAAAAGGGAGACCAGUCAGGAAGCUUUGCAAUAGCACAGGAGGGAGUUGCUCAAGGCCCCGGGGCUAGAGUGCCAGCAGCAGGUUGGUGUAACAGGUGACUGAAUUCUGGGUUUCUGUGAAGGUGGAGCUGACAUGUGUGUGCAGUGUGAGAAGACUUAGAGAUAACUUCAAGGUUCAAAGGUAAUCUCAGAGUACCUGCCACAUGUUGUAUUUAUGUAACUCUGUUCCCCGUGAGACUGAAAGUUCUGAAGACAAAGGCCCCACAUCUGGCUUUUUCACUGUUGUAUCCUCCCAUCUCUGAGCACAGGGAAUUUGCAACACAGCCCAUAACUAUUGGUGGAGUCAUUGUUGUGGAUCAGGCACUUUACAUAAUCUCAUUUAAUCAGAACAACCUUCUGAGGCGGCUCCUAUCAUUAUCCCCACUUACUAAGUGAAGAAACCAAGGUCCAGAGAGAUUAGUUUAUAUCAGUAAACAGAAGACCCCGGAUUUAAAUCUAUAUUGAAUAAAAGCAUUCAUUCACUCAAAUUAAGCAAAGACUUGAGUUUAACUAAAUAUUCUGACCACAUUUGGAAUAGGAUAUGCGGAAAAGAGCAAGAUUUAUAAAUAGUUCAAAGUUUUAGCCAUAGAAAAAUCAUGUCGUAACCAGCAAGAUUUAGAGCAGCUCACUCAGGAAUUCUCAAACUAUACAGUCAAUCGUAGCUGUGGUUUGGUUGCUGUCAAGUGUUGCAGACAAUAAUUUCAGAAAAGUCUUAUAAACAUGCUGGAGACAAAGAGGAGAAAAACAAAUGACAUCAGAUAGACCGUGAUGGCACAGUGAAAAAUGUCCAGACUGAGGGUGAAGAGGGAGGGGCUUCUGUCUCAUUUAAGUCCUAACCACUUAUUAACAUUGGAGGUGUUGAUUCCAUCUUUCCAAGUCCUGCUCACCUACAAAAAGGCUAUGAUAGACGCUGUCUGCCUUAACAGCCUGAAGAGGCUUCUGGGAGAAAUUAAAUCCAUCCCAUAAAUUCAGAUCACCUAUAGCCCAGCACUGCACUAUACACAGCCAUGGCACGAGCGAAACAGACAAACCCCCAUUGUGUGGAGUUUGCCUUCUAAUGGAAGGGAAGGUUGACAAGAGCAAGAGCUAGUAAGUAGAUAUUUUCAAGAGUGAUAAAGGUUACAAAGGAGGAUAAAACAGGGUAGAGGGGUACAGAGUGAUCAAGGAGGAGGUAAUAUCGCACACUGACCUGAAUAAAUUGAAGGCAUGGCGGGGGUUUUGACACAGCAGGUCAAGCCACCAAUUGGGACGCCUGCAUCCCGAGUCAGAGUGUCUGGGUCAGAGUCCUGCUGCCUCUUCUGAUCCAGCUUCCUGCCAGUGCGCACCCUGGGUGGUGGCACAUGAUGGCUGACGUAGUUGGGUCUCCGCCACACCCAGGGGAGACCCAGAUGCAGUUCUGGCUCAUAGCUUCAGCCUGUCCCAGCCCUUGCAGUUGCAGGCAUUUGGGGAAUGAAUCAAUGGAGGGAAGAUCUCUGUCAUUCUUUCAAAUAAAUUAGUAAUAAUAACACUAAUAAUAGAGCAAGCAAGGAAGUAUUCUGGAAAAAGGAUGAUUCAGGCAGAGAGAAUAAAAAAUGUUUUUGAUUGAUUUGAAAGGCUGAGUGACAGAGAGUGAGAGCAAGAGAUUGAUCUUCCAUUUGCUGGUUCACUCCCCAAUUGUCAGCAACAGCCAGGGCUGGGCCAGGGCGAAGGUAGUAGCCAGGAACCCCAUCCUGUUCUCUCACAUGGGUGGCAGGGACUCAAGUAUUUGAGCCAUCAUCUGCUGCCUCCACGUGCAUUAGCAGGAAGUUGGAUCAGAAGCAGAUCAGUUAAGACUCAAACUGGCACUGCGAUAUGGGAUGCAGGCAUCCCAAGCCAUGUCAUGACCCACCACGCCAGAUCACCUGCCCUGGGAACAAAUUUGUUUUUACUUUCUCUGGUGAGAAUGGGCUUGGGGCAUCUGGGGAACAGCAAGGAGUGGUGGACAUUGGACAGUGCACAGUGCAGGAAGGGACAGGAUCAUGUGGGGCUUUGCAGGUUUUACUGCCACUGAAAUCACUUUCCUUGAAACUUUGAUUUUAUUAUGCAAAGAAGAUGGAAACCAAAAUAUGCAAAGAACAAUACAAAUAGUAGACAAAGGAGUGAUAGACUUGGGCAGUAAUACUGGCACGCCUGCUUCAAGUCCAUGGAGUUCUGGGGACUAUCUGGGUUGGAAUUCUGGAUGCACCAGUUGCUACAUGUGACUUUCAUGUGUGUGACCUUGAACAUGUUACACUUCCUCGGUGCCUCAUUUUCCUCACGUGUAAAAUAGUGAUCAUAAUGGUACAUAGCAUAUUAGGUUGUUCUGAAGAUUAAAUUAUAUUUAUGAUCAGUUUCCAGAACAAGAAUGCUCGUAAAUGUUAGUCAUUAUUAUGAUUAGUUACUGGACUUGUACAACCAAUUGAGUUUAUUAAUGUUGAUUUCUUUAAUUCAGAACCUGACAUUUAUUUUUAAACAAAAAUUUUUAUAUAAAGAUUUUUUUUUAAAGAGAAAGGCUAUGUUUUUAAAUACAAAGUGUUUCAGAAUUCAGAUAUUUAAAAUCAAUGAAAUAAGCUUUCCUCAAAGUUCCAACUGAUAGUGAAGUGCCUGAAUACAAUGGGUUUUAACAGCACAAGGAAUUUGCCCUUCAGAGAUCAAUUCUCCCCCCUUCCCUAGAGAUUCCUUUUGGUCCAUGUCACCAAGUGAGGAGUGGAGGCAAGAGCCAGUACCUAUCCCAGGCACCUUCAGAAUGACCUGUGUCCUAUCAAGUUUUCAUUGUGUGUGUUUGUUUUAGUGAAAGUGAUUCCAGUGACAGUGAAACCUAACACAUGCAAUAACACAAGGGUACUACUUCUGCCCUCUUGGUGUAAUAAAGUAUCAUGUUUUCAACAGUGUAAUAUGAUUCCAUACCCACAAAUUCACCCUAUUUCAGUUUUGUAAGUUCUCCCUUAUUUUCACAAUACUUAGCAAAAGCUUGUUGCUGUUUGAAAGUAAGGAAAUUAGAGUAAUGUGUAGUUGAAGCAAACCAGAUGAAGAACAAAGCAAAUCUAAAAGCCAGCUGCUAACCAGCUACCCGGUCACACACUUUUCUUAAUGUGUUUGAAUGGAAUUGAAUAGCGGCCAAAACCAACAUCUCCUCAAAACCAGAUUGAGAUGCGUGUGAACAACCAAAGGCCAUUCAACCAAGCUUCCAUAUCAAUAAAUGGCUUGAAAGGAAAGGGGCAGAUGAACAAUCACCAGGAAUUUAUGAAACUUAUGGAAAGGUUUAUCAGUUGGGUUAUGCAAGAAGCUAUCUUGAUAAUAAACAAGUCCGCUGAAAGAGUUCUUGUGCAAAACAUAACAUAUUUUACCGCCAUUUGAAAGAUAUGUAAAAAUGUUUUUGGUUUUAUUUUUAACCUUUCUAAAUCCAGGCACCCACUGCCUUCCAAAAGCUAUUCUUGGUGAUGAUACAAUGUUCUGACACGUUUUCCCUGAGACACAUCUGCUGAAAUUAACAUUUUUGUCUCCACAGACUCACAUGUCACUGAAAAAUAUGAAAAAAUCAUUGUUUUCUUGCUAAUCAGGCUUUGCUGGCAGAAUUUUUCAAAUCAAACUUACUCUAAUCUUCCAAGAGAGAGGGACCAUAUAUCGCUACUGUAAUCCAUAUCACCUUUGAAUAGUAUAAGGCUCUGCUGAGGGUGGAUAAAAUCAACAGACAAAUAGAUGUUUCUGUGGCAGCUCAAACUCUACCUGUUGGAUUCUACACACUUCUUUUUUUCUUUUUUUUCUUUUUUUUUUUUUUUU